UACGGGGGGGGCAAGCGUUGUCCGGAAUCAUUGGGCGUAAAGCGCGUGUAGGCGGCCAGAAAAGUCCGCUGUGAAAACUCGAGGCUCAACUUCGAGCUGUCGGUGGAAACUUUCUGGCUAGAGUCCGGAAGAGGAGAAUGGAAUUCCUGGUGUAGCGGUGAAAUGCGUAGAUAUCGUAAGGAAGACCAGUGGCGAAGGCGGGUCUCUGGACAGUUCCUGACGCUGAGACACGAAGGCCAGGGGAGCAAACGGG
rnacentral:rRNA from 1 species